CAGCACUACAAGGCCUGAGAAUUACAGAACUCCCAUAGGGAAAUCACAGACGAUGAGAAGUAGUAACAAACCAAAUAGAAACGGAUGCAUAGCAAGCAUUAAUGAGAGAGACAGAGGACAAGCGAAUGGGGAAAAAAGAGCGAAUUUAGCAGCAACUAGAAGAUGCCCGGAGCUUCCCUGGUCAAUUCUUAAAAAAAAACACAAUUUUGUAGUACUUUUAACUACAGAAAAGAGCGUGCAGCUAGUAGAGCAAAUUGAAGUUUCGUUUGAGGAGUGACAGAGAGGAGUGUGACAUCUUUUGGAGUUUGUGAAGCAGCGUUUUUGAAGCACAAACCAUUCAAGUCACACAACAUACACUUUAUAGCACACUUUUCUAACCAAAUAUUUAUACAACAAGAAAAACGAGAAGGGACGUGUGAGACGCUUUUUACGCGUCACAACUUUUAUACCCGGCACUCAGGACUACAUCUAGAUGUAGAAGACAUCGCCAACCACUAGAUAUCGUUCACAUUACAGAACACGUAGUAAAAAGACUACUAAAUAAAAUGCAUCAAAAAAAUUGGAUCAGUUAAUCGUAUUUUCCAAUUUGUGAGAUAUUUAAAACAGAAAUGAAAUUGGUACUUUUUCCCUGCACAUUCUGUGCAAUAAUGACCGCUAGGUUUCAUAGCAGAUUUUUCGAAAGUGGCGCCAUGAAAAUUUCUUAUACGCAACUUUGAUGGUCACUCUUUUUCUAAUACAGAGCGUUAAAAACCGAG
rnacentral:lncRNA from 1 species